rfam:Triticum aestivum genome assembly, contig: Triticum_aestivum_CS42_TGACv1_scaffold_251976_3DL
UUUGUACUCCCUCCGUCCCAAAAUUCUUGUCUUAGAUUUGUCUAGAUACAUGUCUAGAUACGGAUGUAUCUAAUACUAAAACGUGACUUGAUACAUCCGUAUUUAGACAAAUGUAAGACAAGAAUUUUGGGACGGAGGGAGUAUAUG